rnacentral:rRNA from 1 species
CGAACGGGUGAGUAACGCGUUGGUGACCUGCCCCGAAGAGAGGGAUAACAGUCCGAAAGGAUUGCUAAUACCCCAUGUGGUUGUAUGGAUUAGAUGCCUUACAACUAAACGGAUUUAUUCGCUUCGGGAGGGGCCUGCGUCCCAUCAGCUAGUUGGUAGGGUAAUGGCCUACCAAGGCGAUGACGGGUAGGGGACCUGAGAGGGUGGCCCCCCACAAUGGAACUGAUUUACGGUCCAUACACCUACGGGUGGCAGCAGUAGGGAAUAUUGGUUAAUCUGCGAAAGCGGGAACCAGCAACGCCGCGUGCACG